GACGAACGCUGGCGGCGUGCCUAAUACAUGCAAGUUGAGCGCUGAAGGUUGGUAUUUGUACCAACUGGAUGAGCAGCGAACGGGUGAGUAACGCGUGGGGAAUCUGCCUUUGAGCGGGGGACAACAUUUGGAAACGAAUGCUAAUACCGCAUAAAAACUUUAAACACAAGUUUUAAGUUUGAAAGAUGCAAUUGCAUCACUCAAAGAUGAUCCCGCGUUGUAUUAGCUAGUUGGUGAGGUAAAGGCUCACCAAGGCGAUGAUACAUAGCCGACCUGAGAGGGUGAUCGGCCCCAUUGGGACUGAGACACGGCCCAAACUCCUACGGGAGGCAGCAGUAGGGAAUCUUCGGCAAUGGACGAAAGUCUGACCGAGCAACGCCGCGUGAGUGAAGAAGGUUGUCGGAUCGUAAAACUCUGUUGGUAGAGAAGAACGUUGGUGAGAGUGGAAAGCUCAUCAAGUGACGGUAACUACCCAGAAAGGGACGGCUAACUACGUG
rnacentral:rRNA from 1 species